rnacentral:rRNA from 1 species
UACGUAGGGUGCAAGCGUUGUCCGGAAUUAUUGGGCGUAAAGAGCGUGUAGGCGGUUUGGUAGGUCCGUUGUGAAAACUCGAGGCUCAACCUCGAGACGCCGGCGGAAACCAUCAGGCUAGAGUCCGGAAGAGGAGAGUGGAAUUCCUGGUGUAGCGGUGAAAUGCGCAGAUAUCAGGAGGAACACCCGUGGCGAAAGCGGCUCUCUGGGACGGUACUGACGCUGAGACGCGAAAGCGUGGGGAGCAAACAGG